AUCCUUCCCUUUCUUGAAUGAAAGCAGCAUACCACACACUUUGCUUUUUUCACUCCCUGCUGGAAAUCCUUCCCUAUGCCAUGUGGAGAUCUUCCUCAUUCCUUUUUAGUAGUCUGUCAUGGGAACAUGCCAUAGCUCUCUUUCCGGGUUAUUUCCAGUUUUUUGCUAUUACAAACAGAGCUGCAAUGCAUGACCUUAUGUGAAUGACUUUUCAUAUUUUCAGGCUCUCUAGUGAAUCGAAUGUGCAACCGGGGUUGAGAACUUCUGAUCUAGAGGGAAAGCAGGUUGUUAAGAGAUCUAACUUGGAAUCCCAGCUCUGCCCUUAACUUACAUCUCAUAAAAUCCAACAGAAGACCUGAAUAGAUGAAAAGGCUGACUGAGAAGGAAUUCUUCCUGCCUGACUGCAUGAGCUGGGACAUCAGUCCUUUCCUUCAUUCACGCUCGAACUGAAACAUUGGGUCUUCGGGGGACUUGAGCCUGCCACUCUCAGAAUGGAACUUACACCAUCAGCUCUCCUGAGUCUCCUGCUUGACAAUUGCAGAUAUUGGCAUUUCUUAGCCUUCAUAAUCACAUGAGCAAAUUCCACAUAAUAAAU
rnacentral:lncRNA from 10 species